UCUGGGACGCACGGGGCUCCUCCACCCUACCAUAGACGCGUCAGUAUGAUCCAGGGGGUGAUGGCUAGGGACGGGAGUCAAGAGGACGCGACCGAGCUGCUGAAGACACUCCGACAGGAUCUAGGCAUGGAGUCCACAUCUCUGGACGAUGUUCUGUAACACUACGCCAGCUUCAGGAACCUGGCGGAUCCUAUCACCCACGACCUCAUCAUCAGCCUGGCCAGAUGUGUGACCUGCCCCAAGAUGCCUCUAGGUCACCAGGCUGCUCGUUAUGGUGCACACCUG